AGCGAAUAGAUACCCAGGUAGUCCAUGCCGUAAACUAUGGAUACUAGCUGUUGGGGGUAUCGACCCCUCCAGUAGCGAAAGCUAACGCGUUAAGUAUCCCGCCUGUGGAGUACGAUCGCAAGAUUAAAACAUAAAGGAAUUGACGGGGACCCGCACAAGCGGUGGAGCGUGUUCUUUAAUUCGAUGCUAAACGAAGAACCUUACCAGGGCUUGACAUCCCUUGAAUUACUCCGAAAGGAGUGAGUGCUUUAUUGAGCAAGGUGACAGGUGAUGCAUGGCCGUCGUCAGCUCGUGUCGUGAGAUGUUUGGUUAAGUCCAUCAACGAGCGCAACCCUUAUACUUAGUUGUAUUUUUC
rnacentral:rRNA from 1 species